rnacentral:rRNA from 1 species
UACAUAGGGUGCGAGCGUUAAUCGGAAUUACUGGGCGUAAAGCGUGCGCAGGCGGUUCGUUGUGUCUGUGGUGAAAGUCCGGGGCUCAACUCCGGAUCUGCGGUGGGUACGGGCAGACUAGAGUGCAGUAGGGGAGACUGGAAUUCCUGGUGUAGCGGUGAAAUGCGCAGAUAUCAGGAGGAACACCGAUGGCGAAGGCAGGUCUCUGGGCCACUACUGACGCUGAGAAGCGAAAGCAUGGGGAGCGAACAGG